ACCUAGGGUAGAGGUGCUGUAGUUAUUAUUACUCCUUCUUAGCUGGCAGGCUGUGAGGAAUGAGGAAAGGAAUUUCAGCCGAAGAAAGAAUUCUAGCAGGAACUCUUUCUGGUUUUGUAUAGAAUAUAUGCAAAACUGUCACUAUUUCUAUAGUGGAGAGCUACAAGGUGC
rnacentral:ncRNA from 2 species